CCAAUAGCGUAUAUUAAAGUUGUUGCAGUUAAAAAGCUCGUAGUUGAAUUUCGGGAUCAGUACGUCGGUCGUGCCUUCGGUAUGCACUGGUGUCACUGAUUCCUCCCUUCUGACGAACCGUCAUGCCAUUAAUUUGGUGUGGCGGGAAAUCAGGACUGUUACUUUGAAAAAAUUAGAGUGUUUAAUGCAGGCUCACGCUUGAAUACAUUAGCAUGGAAUAAUGAAAUAGGACGUUGAUCUUAUUUUGUUGGUUUCUAGGAUUGACGUAAUGAUUAAUAGGGAUAGAUGGGGGCAUUAGUAUUCAAUUGUCAGAGGUGAAAUUCUUGGAUUUAUUGAAGACUAACUACUGCGAAAGCAUUUGCCAAGGAUGUUUUCAUUAAUCAAGAACGAAAGUUAGGGGAUCGAAGACGAUCAGAUACCGUCGUAGUCUUAACCAUAAACUAUGCCGACUAGGGAUCGGAUGAUGUUAAUUUUUUAAUGACUCAUUCGGCGCCUUAC
rnacentral:rRNA from 1 species